rnacentral:rRNA from 1 species
GACGUAGGUGGCAAACGUUAUCCGGAAUUAUUGGGCGUAAAGGGUGCGUAGGUGGCCUGAUAAGUUAGCCGUGGGAAAUCGAGGCUCAACCUCGUGGAAGCUGGUAAUACUGUCAGGCUCGAGUGCAGGAGAGGUUAACGGAACUCCAUGUGGAGCGGUAAAAUGUGUAGAUAUAUGGAAGAACACCAAUAACGGCGAAGGCAGUUAACUAUUCUGUUACUGACAUUGAGGCACGAAAGCGUGGGGAGCAAAACGG